rnacentral:misc_RNA from 1 species
AGGACUACUCGGGUAUCUAAUCCUGUUUGCUCCCCACGCUUUCGUGCAUGAGCGUCAGUAUCAUCCCAGGGGGCUGCCUUCGCCAUCGGUGUUCCUCCGCAUAUCUACGCAUUUCACUGCUACACGCGGAAUUCCACCCCCCUCUGACAUACUCUAGCUCGGGAGUUAAAAGUGCAGUUCCAAGGUUAAGCCCUGGGAUUUCACACCUCUCUUUCCGAACCGCCUGCGCACGCUUUACGCCCAGCAAUUCCGAUUAACGCUUGCACCCUACGUAUUACCGCGGCUGCUGGCACU